rnacentral:rRNA from 1 species
AGUGAACGCUGGCGGUAGGCCUAACACAUGCAAGUCGAACGGCAGCACAGUAAGAGCUUGCUCUUACGGGUGGCGAGUGGCGGACGGGUGAGGAAUACAUCGGAAUCUACUUUUUCGUGGGGGAUAACGUAGGGAAACUUACGCUAAUACCGCAUACGACCUACGGGUGAAAGCAGGGGAUCUUCGGACCUUGCGCGAUUGAAUGAGCCGAUGUCGGAUUAGCUAGUUGGCGGGGUAAAGGCCCACCAAGGCGACGAUCCGUAGCUGGUCUGAGAGGAUGAUCAGCCACACUGGAACUGAGACACGGUCCAGACUCCUACGGGAGGCAGCAGUGGGGAAUAUUGGACAAUGGGCGCAAGCCUGAUCCAGCCAUACCGCGUGGGUGAAGAAGGCCUUCGGGUUGUAAAGCCCCUUUGUUGGGAAAGAAAAGCAGCAGGUUAAUACCCCGCUGUUCUGACGGUACCAAAAGAAUAAGCACCGGCUAACUUCGUG